UGCCUUUCUAUUUCCCUAAUCAGGCCAUCAACUUCAGAUUCUUGCCCCAAAAUCGUGUCUUUCCCUUCUCCUCGUCAUCCCCUUUCCAAGAUCUGAGACUGGCGAUGGGGCGGAGGCUCAGUUUGGCAUCGUGUUCCAUAGGCGCUCGUGAUCCCCUCUGUGGUACGUGGUCAGCCGCCACCUUCCACUUCGACCUCUCGCCCGCCCACCCAAUUACCCAACACAGACGCUGACGCGCGGCAAUUCCUCCUCCGGUCGCCACUCCCUGGCAUAAUCCCUCUCGCUGGCGGAUUCUCCCUGCUCCACCUUGUCGGGAUUUCGAGGAGCUCGUGAACGAAGUCUCUCGCGCCGUCGGCGAACAGAUCAGGCCACCAUGGCCAACAGGGAGAGGUUGCUGGUCGCACAAGCAACCGCGGCUGCCGGAGCCAUGGAUUUAGGGCUUGCCUGUCUUUUGCACGACAUCUUGCUUUGGAUGAGGAUAAAAGUCGGAGAUGAUUUCCCGAAUCUCAGAAACCUGGUUGUGAUAAGGAAGUUCAUGUAAGGUUACUGAAGGUAUUUUGUACGGAGAUAUGUGCACUGGAGACAUAAGAAAGAGACACAGUGGUCCUUUGUUGCCCCUGCGUUGGAGCUUAUCAUUUAAAAGCAUGGCAUGCGAUCAAAGAGAGAGCGGAUGUAGUAAGCGCAGAGAUGAUUGGUACCUAUGUUUUGUUGUCUGCUGGAAUCUCGGCGUUCAUAUAGGGAAGAGUCGUCUUCCUUUGAACAAUCUCUAAUGGUAUGCUCCACUCAAACAUACCUAUAGAUUUUUUUGGCAGCAUAUGAAUAUAUCCACUGGUGUAUGAAACAAUCUAUCUCAUAUUAGAACUCCCAUUUUCCUUGAUGUCAGUAUAAGAUCAAAUGCUUACAUAAGAGAAUAAUCAUCGGAAAUUGAUAAUGUGGUCUUUAAUUUGGAAUUUUCAUAUCGAACCAUACCUGGGUAUUGCACCGGGGGUUGUUUAUUCACUGCAUUAUUCACCUAAUUCUGUAAUGAACUUUGAAGAGGGAUUGCUAAAUUCUAAUAGUAAGAAUUUGAGACAAAUGUGUUACAUGCACCUAUUUUUUGUUUCUGGAAAUUCUGCUUGAGGAUAGUUCUCAUUCUGUUACAUGCAUGCCAUGGACGCGGAGGGGUUGUUGGCGGUAUCGGUGAUCAACCUAGGACUGGUGCGGUGGCGUUGUCGCUCUUCUCCAUGUUGAAGUAGCAGCCAAGGAACACGCUUAUGUACCUACCACAGCGGAUGGAGGCAGGAGGCGUUGGUGGUGGCUUGUGGCCAGUGUGCGCGGGGCUGCUGACCCUGGCGCGACAUGCUUUUCAUAACUCUUUUCUUUUUCAGAAUAGAUUUGAGAAGUAGUAGGAAUACCCAUAUUUUAGAGUAUAUGAUUUUUUGGGCUGUAGAUGGUUCCCUUCGCUAUCUGAUACAAUGAUAUUACUGAAUUUUCUACAUGUAAGUUGAUGUAAACCACAAAUGGAAAGCUAAUUUUUUUACGAUGAAAUGGUUCCUGUACUUUGUUCUUCUUUGUUAAUCCUAAAUUAUACUCAUAACUCGUAAGGGCACCAACUUUGUUACAGCACUUCUUACAAUGUUAUACUCCGUAUAAUAUUUUUCUCCAUGAAGAUGUAUAUGCCUUAGAUUCGUGGUAUUGCCUAAAGUGUUAUCACUGCCACAACCAGUAACGUCAAGAGUCUAUAAUGGUAAUUUGGAGUUUUCCAUAAGGUUUAAAUUGUUAAUGCAACUUCUCGAUGAUUUGAUAGUAAAAUAAAAUUAUAUAUUCAAAUUAAAUCAAAAUUGUUAAGAAUAUCUAUACUGCAGACAUUAUCACAUAUUUAGGAGCAUGAAAUUUAAGGAACCGUAGCAACGCACGGUUGAAUAGGCCAGUUUUCGUGGCUGGGCUGCUACUGCCCACAUCGACCUAGGCCCUUGCUGGUUGUUUGGGCCCCAAAACUGUCUAACGGGCCGACUUGUUUGCUCAUGCGGUUGAUUACUCCCCGGCCCGAGCGGUUCUCCUCUUCACAUCUACCUAGCGGCGACGGCGACGGCGACGGCGGCGUGCGGCACGAGCACGAAUCAGCCAUCUUCCUCCCUCUUCCUUGCCUCACAGACAUUUCUGUUCUUUGUUUCAGGAAUUGCGGACUCACUGGGGGCUGGAUUCAGUGUGGGGGCAUUAGGUUUUGCGGCCUCUCGAUGCAGAAGAAGCAUGAUCUGGGAUUAGACGUAUGCAUCAACUAGGCUCAGGCCUCAUGGCGCUCCAUGCUUCCGUGAGAAGCUGAUGUAGCUGAGGCGCCAAUUCUAAUCUGCCGGCCUCGCCACAACGAGUUGGGUCUGACAGGAGAAGUUUUUGGCAAACAUGAGGCAGCUCCGCAGCUGUAGAGCCGUACACAUGAGACUAUAUGAGAGAUGUUCGAGCUCUGGCGUGCCACUGCAAUGACCGUUUAUUGAUAGGAAUCCCUCUAAAAACCAUGCCGAUCUUCUUUGACAAACUGCAGUCUCACGCUGCCAUCCAAGACGGCUGCAUCGCUUCUUCCCUAUGCUGUCCAAGAGGUGCGAGGAGGAUCGAGCAGGAAGACCCACUGAGAUUGACAACAAGCAGCAUUGUACCCUGAUCAAAUUAUCGACUCUAAGAACCUGAACAAAGACACAAAUUUUACUUAGGUGAAGUCUGUGAAGAUAGGAGAAAAGGCUUAAAACGAAGAAGGAUGAGGCAGCUAGCCCAUAUAGAUGUAAUGGAGCUCAUAAGAGUGAGAAGAGCCAAAGAAGAAAGAUGGUAUAUGGGGUGGGAAUCAUCACAGUAUUUUGCAGGACCACCGCCUGUUACAGUGGUAGUGGUGGAAAAGAAGCGCAUGCUAAAGAGGAAGCUGUCAAGACAUGAUUAUGGCGUGGGAAAUUUAUAUUGAGGUCUAUAUGGUGCCACGAUAUGGAGACAAUAAGCUAUGCCUGGACCGUCGCUUGAUUGUUCACACAAAGUACAAUUCUUUUUCAAUUCCUCCAUAGCUAUAGGUAGAGAAAGCGACUUUGAACUCUGAUCAAUUUAUUCUUUUUACUCUUGAAUCCCAUGUAUGUUUUUAAUGUUUUACAAUGGAUGAUUGAUGAAAAGCUGCAACUAAUGCUUUUUCCGGGUCGUACAAGGAGGGUGGAAUAUAUAAAGGCAACGGAUUGCAUACUUACACAACAAUUUCUGAUAUUGAGUUUCAUGACUUGCAAUUUUGAACCAUAUAUGGUGGACAGCUUGUUUCAUUGGAUGUGUGAGUAGAAUGCAAUAUUGUAUCUUGCAUUCUAAAUUGCUGUUUUUUGGGUUGAUCAUUUGGACCUUGAAGAGACUGCUUAUCAGCAAAACCUUCUCUCUAUAUUGAUACCCUAUAUUACUUGGCAUUUAUUUAAAAUCAUUUGAUCUUUUAA